GAGGAGGGUAACAGAACUUUCACGUUUAUACACUGACAACCACUUGGGCUGGCAUCUCUUGGCGGCUCACCCGUACCAGGCACUCAGAGCUACGGCUUGUCUCACUCAGUUGUCAAAACAGCCCUCUCAGAGUUGAAAGAGAGCAAAGGAGCAAAAAAACCCUUUUUCUCCACAUCGCGGUUUGGUUUCGAGAUGCAGAGAGGCAAGCCUCAGAUGUGACAGAAGAACAAAUGUCCCAGUGCGUUCAUAUGGCUCCGUGUGCCCCUAAAUGAAAUUGAAGAGGAGGCCCAAGGAGGCCUGGUGGCUCCCUGGUGAAACCCACCUGAUCAUCUCUCGCUGGAUUUAACCUGCAUCAAAAGGAACUUCACGGAAGUUGGCUUUAGUCUUGGGAAGCAAAUAUUGACUGUCUGUGGUAGACACACAGAAGCAAUGGCAUCAGAAAUACCUGAUUUUCACCCUGGCUGGUGUAGGUCAGUGGAUUGAGCGUGGGCUGUGAACCAAAGAGUUGCUGGUUCAAUUCCCAGUCAGGGCACAUGCCUGGGUUGCAGGUCAGGUCCCCAGUGGGGGUCACAUGAGAGGCAACCAUACACUGAUG